AGUGAACGCUGGCGGUAGGCCUAACACAUGCAAGUCGAACGGCAGCACAGUAAGAGCUUGCUCUUACGGGUGGCGAGUGGCGGACGGGUGAGGAAUACAUCGGAAUCUACUUUUUCGUGGGGGAUAACGUAGGGACACUUACGCUAAUACCGCAUACGACCUACGGGUGAAAGCAGGGGAUCUUCGGACCUUGCGCGAUCGAAUGAGCCGAUGUCGGAUUAGCUAGUUGGCGGGGUAAAGGCCCACCAAGGCGACGAUCCGUAGCUGGUCUGAGAGGAUGAUCAGCCACACUGGAACUGAGACACGGUCCAGACUCCUACGGGAGGCAGCAGUGGGGAAUAUUGGACAAUGGGCGCAAGCCUGAUCCAGCCAUACCGCGUGUGUGAAGAAGGCCUUCGGGUUGUAAAGCCCUUUUGUUGGGAAAGAAAAGCAGCAGGUUAAUACCCCGCUGUUCUGACGGUACCCAAAGAAUAAGCACCGGCUAACUUCGUG
rnacentral:rRNA from 1 species